rnacentral:rRNA from 1 species
UACAGAGGGCUCAAGCGUUGUUCGGAUUCAUUGGGCGUAAAGGGCGCGUAGGCGGCGCCGCAAGUCAGGUGUGAAAUCUCGGGGCUUAACUCCGAAACUGCAUUUGAUACUGCGGUGCUCGAGGACUGGAGAGGAGACUGGAAUUCAUGGUGUAGCAGUGAAAUGCGUAGAGAUCAUGAGGAAGACCAGUGGCGAAGGCGGGUCUCUGGACAGUUCCUGACACUGAGGCACGAAGGCCUGGGGAGCAAACGGG